AACCUAUUAGCUCAAAUGGUAGAGCACUAUGUAAAUGCAUAGGGGAUGUAGGUUCGAUUCCUACAUAGGUUG
rnacentral:tRNA from 1 species